rnacentral:tRNA from 1 species
CGGCCGGCGGGGAGCGGGGACGGCCGCCGCCACGGCGGCGGCGCGGAUCGUCGCGACGAGCCGCGCGGCGUCCGACGGGCCACCGGUCGG